GUCCAAUAAAAUACCAGAUACGAGGGGUUGUCAGAAAUGUUGUGUAGUGCGAAACCCAUACACCGGUCAUAAGUACUUAUGUGGAGCUUUCCAGUCCAGCGUGAUGCUGUUUGAAUGGGUGGAAGCCAUGCAGCGCUUCAUGCUGAUAAAGAGCAUAGACCUCACCCUGCCGUGUCCAUUAGAAGUCUUUGAGAUGUUGGUGGUUCCUGAGCAGCAUUAUCCACUGGUUU